UACAGAGGUCUCAAGCGUUGUUCGGAUUCAUUGGGCGUAAAGGGUGCGUAGGCGGCGCGGUAAGUCGGGGGUGAAAUCUCGGAGCUUGACUCCGAAACUGCAUUCGAUACUGCCGUGCUUGAGGACUGGAGAGGAGACUGGAAUUUACGGUGUAGCGGUGAAAUGCGUAGAUAUCGUAAGGAAGACCAGUGGCGAAGGCGGGUCUCUGGACAGUUCCUGACGCUGAGGCACGAAGGUCAGGGGAGCAAACGGG
rnacentral:rRNA from 1 species